rnacentral:rRNA from 1 species
CCUACGGGAGGCAGCAGUGAGGAAUAUUGGUCAAUGGACGAGAGUCUGAACCAGCCAAGUAGCGUGAAGGAUGACUGCCCUAUGGGUUGUAAACUUCUUUUAUAUGGGAAUAAAAUGUUCCACGUGUGGGAUUUUGUAUGUACCAUAUGAAUAAGGAUCGGCUAACUCCGUGCCAGCAGCCGCGGUAAUACGGAGGGUCCGAGCGUUAUCCGGAUUUAUUGGGUUUAAAGGGAGCGAAGGUGGAUGGUUAAGUCAGUUGUGAAAGUUUGCGGCUCAACCGUAAAAUUGCAGUUGAAACUGGCAGUCUUGAGUACAGUAGAGGUGGGCGGAAUUCGUGGUGUAGCGGUGAAAUGCUUAGAUAUCACGAAGAACUCCGAUUGCGAAGGCAGUUCACUGGACUGCAACUGACACUGAGGCUCGAAAGUGUGGGUAUCAAACAGGAUUAGAUACCCUGGUAGUC